ensembl:snRNA U6 U6 spliceosomal RNA
GUGCUUGCUUUGGAGGCACAUAUACUAAAAUUGGAAUGAUACAGAGAAGAUUAGCAUGGCUCCUGUGCAGGAAUGACACACAAAUUUGUGAAGUGUUCCAUAUUUUG